ACCUUCCUCUGGACUUGAUCCAACAGCUCCAUGUCUCUCUUGUGCUGAAGACUCCAGAACUGGACACAGUACCACAGGUGGGGUUUCAUCAAAGGGCAAACUGUUGGCUCAUGUCUAGCUAUUUAUCUACCAGAACCCCCAAGUCCUUCUCUGCAGCCCUGCUCUCAAUCCAUUUAUCCCACAACACGUUAUAAUUCUGGGAAUUUCCCUGACCCAGAUGCCUUGCACUUGGUCGUCUUGAACCUCAUGAGGUUCAUAUGGAUCCACUUCUUGAGAUUUUUAAGGUCCUGAAUGGCACUCCAUCCAUCCUUCAGACAUGGCAAACAUCCCACUCAGCUUGGAGUCAUCUGCAAACUUGCUGAAGGUGUUGAGGGUGAUCCCACUGUUUAUUAAUUGAUGGAGAUAUUAAAUGGUACUCAAUACAGACCCCUGACGGUCACCACUUGUCACUAGCCUUCAUCUGGAUAUUGAAUCAUUGACCUCUACAGUCUGGAUGUGGCCAUCCAACCAAUUUUUCAUCUUCUAAACAGUCCACACAUCAAAUCCAUAUCUAUCCAAUUUAGAGAGAAGGGUAUUGGGGUUGACUAUGUCACAGGCCUUACAAGGGUCUAAACAGAUGACAUCUCUGUCUGAGAUCUAUCUCUUCCCUUUUUUCACUGAUGUAGUUACCCCAUCAUAGAAGGUCACCAGGUAUUUUGAUCAGGACUUGCCAUUACUGAAAGCAUGCUGGAUGUCUCAAAUCACAUCCCUAUCUUCCUAGUGCCUUGGCAUAGCUUCUAAGAGGAUCUGUUCCAUGAUCUUCCCAGUAAGAGAGGUUAGGCUGACAGGUUGGUAGUACCCAGGCUCCUCUUUUCUACCCUUUUUUAAAGUGAGUGCAAUGUUUCCCUUCUCCCACCCACCAGGAACUUCACCUGACUGCCAAGAGCUUUAAACUAUCAUUGGCAACUACAUCAUCCAAUUCCCUCAGGGCUCUGGAAGACAUCUUGUCAUGUCCCAUAGACUUACAUAUAAACUUGUUCUAAAAUUGUUCUUUUUAGCUAUGAAAUUAGUUCUUUACAUUAUACUGUAUAUAUAAGGAGAAAAAAACCACUCCAUUUUUUUAUCUCUUAAUAUAUGCUCAAUUAUCUUUCAGUUGUCCAUAAAAUAAUUCGUUUUACCUAUGCUCCAUAGUGUGCAGCCUUAGAUAUUCUUUCUUUCAGAACCUUUCCACUGUGAAUUCUUGUCACUCACCCCAUAUGUGAAUUGCUUAUAAUUGUGUGCUAUAAAUGAAAGAAAAUAGCUUCACAGACAGAAAGUGAGGGUAUCUCCUCAUGCCAUUAUCACACCACAUUGGUUUCACUGAUGCUUGGAGCAAACUCCAACCUCCUGAAUCAAAGCAAAAGUUUAAGUUUCUCACACUUUUACCCCUAACAAAAGCAGCUUUUUUGGUUUUUUUGUUGGUUUUUUUUUUUUCCAAUUAAUAAAAAAACACGUAUUAUUAAAAAAAUACUUCAGGGAUCUUUUUUUCAAUCCUAAGAAUUCAUCAUAACUUGAGAGACUGAAGUCACAGUCUAUCAAAGAAAUGCAAUCUUCUCAUUGUGAGGUAAAGGGCUAAUCCUAAACUUCUAUUAUUUCUCAUGCAUUUUAAAAACCAUAAAUUUAACCAUGCUAUUUAAUAUACAUUUAAAUAUGAAUAGGAACUGCAUACAUUAAUUCCAAAAGUAAUGAAAGCUAGAAAAAAAAAAUAAAGCACGAUAAUAAUUGUUUGUAUGCAAAGGUCUCUACUGUUUUUAUUACCUAGACAUAAAACAUAAUUACAGAAGAGAGCAACAGUGAGGUUUACAUUUUAUGCAUGC